ACUAGAUUUUCAUCAAACUCUGCAAUUUUUUUAAAAUUUUAACCCGGAGGUAUCCAACUUCAUUUGAUUACGAAACUUUUGAUCUCCUCUUUUUUGUUCUUAUUGUUCGUUUAACUUAGCCAAGCCCGUUGAUUUAUCGAUCGAAAGGCGAUUUUCCUUUUUUUGAUGAAUUUUUAAGAUUUUAAUCGGCAUUUUUCAAAAAUAUUUUUGCAAUGACCUGGAAAAAUCCAAAAAAUCAUGCUGUCACAAGAUUAUCUAUGCAAUAAGCUCUUCGAUUACUUUUUUUCGUGUAGAGAAGAUAAUUUUAUUUAUAAAAAGAUAACUGUAUUGGAACAAUAUCCUCCCUCUUCACCGAAUUUAAUUCCCAAUAUAUAUAUAUAUUUUUCGAAAAUAACAUCAAAAUGAUAUCAAAAGUAAUAUAAUUCCAACUUAUUUCGAAGAGAAACGCCCUGUUCAUAAUUUUUUAGAUUAGAUCACUUCGAAUGAGAUCACAAUAAAAUACGAGAAGCCAAUAACAACCAACAUUCUCUCCUCUCCUCCGAACUCUUAUCCCUCCUCAUCCUUCACAAAUCUUCAAUGAUACCUACUCCAAUAAAACCUACUCUAAAAGAUGAAAAGAUCUCCUCGGCUUUAAUCGGUUCACCUUGAAACCGCGAUGCUGCUCGUCGACGCGUCCCCGUGAAAUCACAAGGGAAAGGAACGAGCUACUUGUGCGGCCAAGCCGAGUGGAGCAGCCACCGUGAAACACACGGCGCCGCAGUCAAUUUCGUUCGCCUCGUCCUCGUCUAGGGAAAAUGGCGGUGCAAGACGAGUUUCCUUGAAAGUGGAUAUCCAAUCCUGUUUUCCGCCCGUGAAAAUCAAGUUUAAAGAUUCAGGAGCGCGGUAUGACUCGCGUAAAACUUUAAGUGUACAUUGAGACUGGACGAGAAGACAGGCGGGAAUCGUGGAACGAAACAUUUGGAACUCGACGAAUAAUCAAACUCUGGAUUGGUAGUCGAAAAGCAGAUUUAUUCGAAAGCAACGAUGCGACGUCGUUUCGUCGGUUCGUUUGAAAUUCCUCUUACGUUUGCUCCAAAGAGAGUUGAACUUCUUCCACUGUGAUUUUCUUUUAGUCCUCAGUAGCCUGUUAAACCGAGAUUUCAUAAUGACACGAAUUUACGAGAAGAAUCGAACGUAUUCUUAAUCUUCGAGUAAAAAAGAAAAUGAAAUCACAUAUAUUCACUCUGAUUCCAACAUCGCGCAUCAACACGAUCACAUUAAUCAAUGAACAAUAUCAAGGAUUACGUGGACGUUUCACAGGCAGAGAAUAAUGAACGAGCCAUUAAUAAGGAACUGGAUAAAUAACACGGGAUUCCCCGAUUCUAAAUCCGCCGAUGUUGCCUGAGAGUUCCCAAAGUGGAUUCGCCAUUAGCAACCGGUUAGUUGCCGGGCUAACGAGUGGCAAAACGUGUGUGUACACAUACGUUUCGUAUUUGCGGAUUUCGUGGAAGUUGCAGGCGAUUUAAUUACGGCCAUACGGGACCCAUUAAAUUUCGAGUCGCUCGGUUAUCUUAAUUACUCUUCGAUCGUGGUAGACGAAGAAGGUGAAUUUUGAACGCGAAAAAUGUAGAAUCGCGUUAGAAUUCUGUCUAUCGGAACUCUAUUGCGAUACGAGAUGGCCAAUUUUAUAUUUUACAAUUUCGUAGAAUCGAGCGAUCGAAUCUAUUUGUCGGGCGUUAAUCAAUUCGAAGAAUGCGAAAUAAACGGAGAAAUUAUUAAAUAGCAUUUCGAUCAAAUUGCUCGAAACAAUUUUUAAUCUCUUGCUUUUCGAUAUACGGAAAAUUUUAUCGAAUUUUUCUCGACCAAGAUUAAUAAAUUACUCCCGAUAAAGCUACAAAUACCCUCGUCGUUCCUAUAUAGCAACGCAUGACGGCGCAAAACGAAAUUUUUGCGUGUAAAAAUUUGACUUGAUUGGAAACGAGAAAUUUUAAGUCGAAAAUUUAAAUAAACGAAUCGAAUUCGAAAUCGAAUUAUUAUACAUAUGUAUCAUCGAAGCGAAAAGAAUAUAGAUCGAGGGAGCGAUAUAUCGAAAUUUAAUAAAUAAAUAUUAUUACGAGAAUAAAAGCCAAAAUCGAAGUAUAGUAACAGAAAGAGGAAAGAACCGUAAGAAAUCUCGAAUCUUGCUCUCUCUUAUUCCGCUGAGACUUUUCGUCGAGCGGGAACUACGCCAUUAUUAAAGGAUGGCGUACAACAACCUGCUACUUCCACCGAAAUCGGUGGCCGUAAUCCUCCGAAAGGGGGGGUUAAAGGGAGGAAGAAAAAUCUGAUGGAUCAACGAACGAAACAAAUGGUCAGGUUGAAGGCCGUGGAACCAUCGCAAUUUUCGCGAAAAUUCGCGUUGGAAGGAUGUGCGGAGCUCGUUAUCUCUCGCGAGAGGGGGCGAGGGGCGGGUUAGAAGAUGGAAGGAAGGAUGCGGAGGAGGCUCCGACGGAUGCUCGAGCGACGUGUUUCAACGCGAUUCUCUCCUUGCGAGAUCCUUCUCGAAGAGCAUUUUUCUGCAUUACACAGUUAUUUCGGGAGUAAAUCGUCCGGAUUGAUAAAAAUGGGCCGCGGCUUGUACACGCCGAGCACUCGAGCCGCCUUCAACCCGACCGCGGAAAAAUAUAAAAAUGGCGAAACUGGACUGGAUGAAAUACGUUUCGGUGAUGAUGAUCCCUCCCGAUUUAUAUCGGUUUUGCUUCAUAACUCGACGAACGCAUCAGAAUUUUUCUUCUUCUUCUUCUUCUUUUUCUUCUUCUUUUUCUAAGUUUAAAUUCGGAAGUUGGAAAUGGUAAAUCAAUUUUAUUUUUAGAUUAGAAUUAUAUAUACAGACACGUACUAGGUUAAGACUAUUAUUACAAUGGAUUAUGAAAUAUUGAAAAUCUGUCGCAACAAAUAUAAAAUAUCUUUGAUAUUGCAAUGAAUUUUUAA